rnacentral:misc_RNA from 1 species
AAGUCGUAACAAGGUUUCCGUAGGUGAACCUGCGGAAGGAUCAUUAACACGUAUCCACGUAUCAACCAACCGCGAACUUGUUUUCAACUCUCCCUAAGGGGCACAUGAAUUGGAUUGAAUAGGGGAUUGAGUGGGGCUUUCUUUUUUCGAAAAGGAGGUUGACUCUGUUCAAUUAACUGAGUGGAUAUUUAUUUAUUGCUCGACAAUUGUAGUGCUCUGAAGGCUUCAUUACUAGGGUCUCCAUUCAAGAUUCUGGUAGUGGAAAAACAAAUAUAUAACUAUAUUAACCCCCUUUUUGCUAGUUGACUUUAUUAUGUUGUUAUUAUUCCGAUUAAUUUCUGGGGUAAUUUCACACGUUUGAUUUAUUUAAACGACAAAAACAACUCUUAGCAAUGGAUAUCUUGGUUCUC